CUACGGGGGGCAGCAGUGAGGAAUAUUGCACAAUGGGGGGAACCCUGAUGCAGCAACGCCGCGUGGAGGAUGACGCAUUUCGGUGUGUAAACUCCUUUUAUAUGUCAAGAAAAUGACGGUAGCAUAUGAAUAAGCACCGGCUAACUCCGUGCCAGCAGCCGCGGUAAUACGGAGGGUGCAAGCGUUACUCGGAAUCACUGGGCGUAAAGGACGCGUAGGCGGGUUGGAAAGUCAGGUGCGAAAUCCUACAGCCUAACUGUAGAACUGCACUUGAAACUUCUAAUCUAGAGUAUGGGAGGGGGAGAUGGAAUUAGUGGUGUAGGGGUAAAAUCCGUAGAUAUCACUAGGAAUACCUAAAGCGAAGGCGAUCUCCUGGAACAUUACUGACGCUAAGGCGUGAAAGCGUGGGGAGCAAACAGGAUUAGAUACCCGAGUAGUC
rnacentral:rRNA from 1 species